CAAAGAUUUAACAACUGCUGAGAAAUUAAAAAGAGAAACUCCGUGGAAAAUUACAGAUGCAGAACUGGAAGCAGUCAAGGAAAAGAGUUACCGCCAAGUUCGACUGAAUGAACUCUUACAGGAGCACUCCAGAGCUGCUAAUCUCAUUGUCCUGAGCCUUCCCGUGGCAAGAAAGGGAUCCAUAUCGGAUUUGUUGUAUAUGGCUUGGUUGGAAAUCCUCACAAAGAACCUCCCACCUGUCUUACUAGUUAGAGGAAAUCACAAAAAUGUCUUGACAUUUUACUCUUAAAACAUGAAAGAUUGGAAUACAUUUUAACUUAAUGUAAUGCAUAAUUAAGAAACAUGUUCCAGUACUUUAUGUUGUAAAUCUGAUCUAUGGAUAUGCAAACCUCUGGAGAGGAUCCUACCAGAUUCUACAUACAUUGCAUAAUUUUUAUCAGUUAAUGCGAGCUUUUUUUUCUCUUCUCAGCUUAAGGGGUUGUCAAAGCCAAUGUUAUCCCUAGAAAAACAUUUUUGUCACUGCUGUUGAUAAACAAGAAAAUCAAGGAAACUCAUGUUGGCUUAUGCUCAUGAAAACCACCAAUGUGAUUGUAAACUUCUCCAGACAAACUUAACCUUUUGUUUCUUAAUUUUUUGUUUUGAGUGUUUGCUUCUCAGCCCUGGUAUAGGUCUCAGCCCCACAGCAGGAUCUCAAUAAAUGCUUAUUGACAGGCUGGCAUAGUAACCACAGGUGGUUAUCAAAGGAAAAGACCAAUAGGCUGGGGAACAUAAUUAUGCUUGGCCCCCUCAGAGGCUUAUACCUCCAAAGCAGAUUUAAAAAUCAGUAACUCAAAACUUUAAGAAGUAGUUGAGUCUACAAAAUAUUCAAAGCAGUUACCUAAAUAAGGUUAUUUAAUGUAACAGAUUAUAUACUUAAAGUGAUCUGAGCAAUCAUUGAUAACAUAUGGCUUAAAUUUGCUGCUGCCUGAAAAGUAUAUUAACUAGAUUAGAAGACACCAUAUACUCCAAUAAAAUGAAAUAUAUUCUAUUCUCAAUAUAUAAACUUUAAUUGUACUCCCUAUCAAAUAUUUUGAAAUUUCCAUCACGGCAUUACUUUGCAUAUUUUUUUCUAAUUAAAUGGUUAGUACAGAUGAAAUCUUUAUAGAUGACUACUUGAAAACUAAGUGCUACAAAUUUUCAAACCAUUAUUAAGAAAUAUAUCCUGAAUCAUAUAUUUAGUUACUUUCUAUAGUGAUUGUAUGGAUUUAAAAGAAUAAUUAAAAUGUGAAGUUGAAAAACUUGUAAAAUUUGGAAUAUACAGAUACUGAUUUUUUUCAUUUUUGUUAGUAUACCUAUAAUACAUAAUCACAUUGACAAACCAAUGAAAAUAUUGAUUUUCUGAUGAAUGGCUUGAUUUUUCUCCUUGACAUGUUUUGACUGUUCAUUCUAACUGAAAACAUAUAUGGGAAAAUAUGAACCUGAAAUAAAAGCACUCAAAUUC
rnacentral:lncRNA from 10 species